AUGGCCGAGGCUGAGGGGCUGCGGGCGGCCGUGGAGCUGACGGAGUCCGGAGGGGGCCUCGUGACACCCGGGGGGUCCCUCACCCUCCGCUGCAAGGCCUCCGGCUUCACCUUCAGCAGCUUCUCCAUGUUCUGGAUUCGACAGGCCCCUGGGAAGGGGCUGGAAUACGUCGCGAGUAUUUACAGCAAUGGUGGCACAGAUUACGCGCCGUCGGUGAAGGGUCGCUUCACCAUCUCCAGGGACAACUCCCAGAGCACGCUCACGCUGCAGAUGAACAGCCUCAAGGAGGACGACACGGCCACCUACUACUGCGCCAAAUGUGCUGGUGCUGGUUGUGGUUAUGGUUAUGCUGGUGGCCCCGACCCCGACCCCGUGUCCCCACAUCCCAGCCCUCGGUCACAGAAUCAGAACCAUCCGGCUUGA